rnacentral:sRNA from 1 species
GCCUAUUCGCGGGUCGUUCCUCCUCCCUCGACCCGCGAUUAUCGGCCAGCGCGUUUCAUGCUGGCCCGUGAAGAGAAAGGCCGGAUCUCCUCCCCCGGCCUUUUUCUUUG